GGGCCGGUAGUUCAGCGGUAGCAACGCCCGCCUUGCACGCGGGAGGUCCUGGGUUCAAAUCCCAGCCGGUCCA
rnacentral:tRNA from 1 species